GACGAACGCUGGCGGCGUGCCUAAUACAUGCAAGUUGAGCGCUGAAGGUUGGUACUUGUACCAACUGGAUGAGCAGCGCACGGGUGAGUAACGCGUGGGGCAUCUGCCUUUGAGCGGGGGACAACCUUUGGAAACGAAUGCUAAUACCGCAUAAAAACUUUAAACACAAGUUUUAAGUUUAAAAGAUGCCAUUGCAUCACUCAAAGAUGAUCCCGCGUUGUAUUAGCUAGUUGGUGAGGUAAAGGCUCACCAAGGCGAUGAUACAUAGCCGACCUGAGAGGGUGAUCGGCGACAUUGGGACUGAGACACGGCCCAAAGUCCUACGGGAGGCAGCAGUAGGGAAUCUGCGGCAAUGGACGAAAGUCUGACCGAGCAACGCCGCGUGAGUGAAGAAGGUGUUCGGAUCGUAAAACUCUGUUGGUAGAGAAGAACGGUGGUGAGAGUGGAAAGCGCAUCAAGUGACGGUAACUACCCAGAAAGGGACGGCUAACUACGU
rnacentral:rRNA from 1 species